ensembl:lncRNA
CGGCGGGGGGCGGGGGGUGGCGGGAGGUGGAGCCCCCUUCUCACCCGACGCCCCUGCCCGCCUCGCCUCCCGCGUGCUCCCUGGGCAAACCGCCGCGCCUGAGCUCAGGCCCCGCUGGUGCCUGCAUGGCCACCCCUGCCCCCGCUGCCAUCCAGACGCCCGCUGGCACGAAUGCCUGCAGGCCCUGAGACGACCUCUGCCCCCGACGCGGGGACGUGGGGCCCAGACUGGCGGCGCUCGUGGGCCCUGUGAAAUAUAUUGUUUAUGUCCAUUAUGUUGUUUAUGAAAUUUAUGAAAACAUCAGAUACCAUCUCCCAUUUGCUCCAUCUGACACCUGGAAAAGCUGGUGCCCGAACAGGUGAAGCAGUUUCUCACAGACAGCAGGGAAAUUCUCCCCUCCUGGGUUUCAUCUCAGGAUAGCACCAGAAGAUCUCUAAGUCCAGCUGCCCAGCGAUCCUUGGCCUGGAAGACACUUGUGUUCUUACAAAGUCUCUGGUCCGGGCUGACGGUCUUCCAAACCCUCUUCUACCUGGUGUACGUCUGGAGGAUCGACUGGAACCGUGCGGCAGAGCAGAUCUGUCCAACCUGGAGAAAGAAGCACUGGCUGGGGCCAUCCUGCUGGACCUCACCUGACCCAAGAGCCAGACUGCGCAGCUAAUCAGGGCAGCCCCUGCCAUGACGUCCUGAUGGGGACUCAGCUGACUGUGUUAGGGCCGAGCGGCUGCAGUUUUGGCUGUUGCUGUCCUCGCAGUGGGAAUUUUAAUAAGACUCUUCACUGACCAUGGCUGAAAUGGAAUCAUCCCAGCCCCAAACUACCAGUGAGAACAAUAUGCCACACGUGCCGCAUGGGAGGUGAGCUCUUCACCUGGACCGUGGCUUCGGUCCCAGCCGAGCAGGAAAGGGAUGCCAGCUUCAUGUUCUUAUUCUGAAGAUUCACAUGAUCAUCCUGGACAUCAAGAAAAGCAUUACAAUUUUAAGUGAACUUUUCUCCCAAAUGUUAACUCUUAUCGUGGUUUUUAAGUCUGCACGUUGGUGUCCCUGGCUGGCUGUGUUCUUUAUCCCACCUUACAUUUAACACCUUCUGUCUUCCAGGAGAGCAGGUCCUCUAGCAGUAACUGCUGGCCACGGUGUGUGUGUGGCACUCUUGUGUGUCCAGUCUCAUGUGUGAGUGUGCAUGAAGUCCUGUCUCGGGCAGUGCCAUGCAAGCUUUUAAAAAAUAAACAUUUAAAAAUACAUGCUCAG